rnacentral:rRNA from 1 species
AUUGAACGCUGGCGGAAUGCUUUACACAUGCAAGUCGAACGGCAGCACGGGGCAACCUGGUGGCGAGUGGCGAACGGGUGAGUAAUACAUCGGAACGUGCCCAAUCGUGGGGGGAUAACGUAGCGAAAGCUACGCUAAUACCGCAUACGAUCUACGGAUGAAAGCGGGGGAUCGCAAGACCUCGCGCGAAUGGAGCGGCCGAUGGCAGAUUAGGUAGUUGGUGGGGUAAAGGCUCACCAAGCCUGCGAUCUGUAGCUGGUCUGAGAGGACGACCAGCCACACUGGAACUGAGACACGGUCCAGACUCCUACGGGAGGCAGCAGUGGGGAAUUUUGGACAAUGGGCGCAAGCCUGAUCCAGCCAUUCCGCGUGCAGGAUGAAGGCCCUCGGGUUGUAAACUGCUUUUGUACGGAACGAAAAGGCUUUCUCUAAUACAGGGGGCUCAUGACGGUACCGUAAGAAUAAGCACCGGCUAACUACGUGCCAGCAGCCGCGGUAAU